rnacentral:rRNA from 1 species
CAGCAGCCGCGGUAAUACGUAGGGUGCGAGCGUUAAUCGGAAUUACUGGGCGUAAAGCGUGCGCAGGCGGUUCGUUAAGACAGAUGUGAAAUCCCCGGGCUUAACCUGGGAGCUGCAUUUGUGACUGGCGAGCUAGAGUAUGGCAGAGGGGGGUAGAAUUCCACGUGUAGCAGUGAAAUGCGUAGAGAUGUGGAGGAAUACCGAUGGCGAAGGCAGCCCCCUGGGCCAAUACUGACGCUCAUGCACGAAAGCGUGGGGAGCAAACAGGAUUAGAUACCCGAGUAGUCCCUGUCUCUUAUAC